AGCAAGAAAGAAAAAAACGCACAGCAUGGAAAAUCACGUCGCAAAAUAAUAGAGAUUGCUUUGUAUCUGCAAACUUUUGUCUGUUUGCAUCAUCAUUUCCCCUUCUCUUAAUAGAUGC
rnacentral:ribozyme from 12 species